AUGAGCAUGUGUAGUAUAAGUUACAAUAUAUUUUACUGUCAAACCUGUAAAUCAAAUCGAUUUAUGACUAUCCUUAUCCUCAUGAAAUUUAUGGUUGCCUCUCAAUAUAAAAUUGCAUCAGAAUCAGAUUUUUUUUUUUUUUUUGCAAAUUAUGCAAAGACAAGUGUGAAUACAGAGAUAGAGUUUCAUGCUAUUACGAGCUUACUUCUUCCAUUUCCUCCCUGUUUGUUGUUAACAACAGGAAUUAAGCAGCUUUAGUCGGCCAGGUCAGGCCAAGGUGACUAAACCGUAGUAAAAACGGCACAGCCUUCUCUCUGUUUAUAGAGCAAGAGUUAAGAGUACAGAUUUAGACAGCUAUUUUCAGAUACGGGCUGAUAUAUUAGAGUGUGUGAUUUCUCUUUGACAAGCGAUCUAGUCGUGACUUGUGAGUGACUCACGAGGAUGCGUGUAAACACACACAUGCAUGCAAGAAUGCCAAGCACCCCCAUGAUUUUGAAGGAACUAGCCUUCUGUUGCCGUAUUUCAUUAAGCUGUUCAGGGUGCAAAACCUUCAGUUUCAAUAGAUUUACUCCUCAAGACAUUCCCGUAUUUCUAUUUUGAAGUAAAUGAGAAAUGAAAGAAAGCCUCUCAAUCACAUAAAUGAAUUACAAGCUACUAACAAUUACUUACCCAGGAGAAAAUGCACCUGUUUUUUUUACUGAUGUUUUGAUUUAGGAAUAAGGGUUUACACAGUUUAAUCCACACCAGGAACUUCUAUUUAUUUUUAUUUAUUUAUUUCAUGACUCGGAAAAGGUGAAAAAUGCACUUUAUUGUAAAAAGAGGUUGUAGUUGCAAGAACUUUACCAUGUGAAAUAUAUUAGCAGUGUUAUAGGUUUUACAAGACUGAACUUUAAUUUACAGAUAGAAAAGUAACACAGAUGACUCUAAGAUGAGGAGACCCACCCCGCAUCACAAUAGCACUUUGAGUGCCUAUAAAAGCGCUAUAUAAAUGUAAUGAAUUAUUAUUUAUUAUUAAAAUAAUGUAAUAAACAUUAAUAAAACAACCUAAGAUGGAACAUAAAGUCUAAAUGCAC
ensembl:lncRNA